AAACAGAUUCUGAUAGAGAUUUCGAUUCUAUCUUAUCCCUAAACCCAAUUCAACUUUCUUGCCAUCCCUAAUCUCCGAUUGAUAUUUAUAAGGAUGAGAUUUGUUUGCAGUUCGAGAAUUUGCUACUAUAAGUAUACGGAUUUUGAGUUCAAGAAUUUGCUGGUUUGCUACUAUUGGUGGCUGAUUUUGAGGUAUUAAACGAGUACCGAAAGAAUUUUAGUGAUUCUUGGAAAGCUGUUCAAGCAGAUUGCAGUCAGGCAUGGCCAUAUUUAGAUGAAGCUUUGACCAGAUUUCAGGUUUUAGUUCUAUAUUUAUUUUCAUUUUAGAAUCCUCAGCAAGUCUUGUUUCUGUAAGUUGAUGCUGAACAUAAACCUUUUUCUGGUUAUACGAAGAGUGGGUGCCGGAAAGAGGGUGUUGAUUUGUUUCAUUACAUGUUGGAAAUGGAUGCUAAAUUUGAUGAGGUUACAUUGAUUAGUGUUUUAACGGCAUGUGGGAGAGCUGGUGCUUUGGAGUUGGCGGAAUGGAUUAAAGAGUACAUAGAAGCAAAUAGACUCAAAGGGAAUGCCACUUUGGUCACCACUCUUAUUGAUAUGUAUGCAAAAUGUGGGCAGGUAGAUAUAGCUAGGAGUUUAUUUGCAAGUCUGUCACUAUCCAGUAACUCAAAGAAAUCACGUCCAAAAGCAAACCGAAAAUUGACUCAUAAUUGAUACAUUAAAAUUUUAAAAUAGCUGGGCUUUGCAUUCCUCCUGAAAUUAGAGCAUCACAAAAUUUUCUAAUAAAAUUUUUCCCACCUUAUAUUGUUUGUAAUACUCUGUCUUGCAUGUGAUGAUAGAUAGAGUUUCAAUAUUCCUCCCUAAAAAUUUAUACUAAAAUAAUAGGUUGGCAAUUGAGCUGCUCCAUACUCAUGG